GGAAUAAUACUUUAAAAAAAAGAUUUAAUUUGCAAUUAAAAAAUAGGUUAUCCUUUAUUCCA
rnacentral:tRNA from 1 species